rnacentral:rRNA from 1 species
GAUGAACGCGGCGGCGUGCUUAACACAUGCAAGUCGAACGGAGUUUAUACGGAAAGCGUCUUCGGACACCGGAAGUGUAAACUUAGUGGCGGACGGGUGAGUAACGCGUGGGUAACCUGCCUUAUACAAGGGGAUAACAGAGGGAAACUUCUGCUAAUACCGUAUAAAAAUAUUUCACGCAUGUGAGAUAUUUGAAAGAUUUAUCAGUAUAAGAUGGACCCGCGUCUGAUUAGGUAGUUGGUGAGGUAGAGGCUCACCAAGCCGACGAUCGGUAGCCGAUCUGAGAGGAUGACCGGCCACAUUGGGACUGAGACACGGCCCAAACUCCUACGGGAGGCAGCAGUGGGGAAUAUUGGACAAUGGGGGCAACCCUGAUCCAGCGACGCCGCGUGAGUGAAGAAGUAUUUUCGGUAUGUAAAAGCUCUAUCGAUAAACGGAAAG